GUGUGUGGAUGGUGUUCAGCACCAGGGACAGGUAUGUUUACCUGUGUGUAGAUGGUGUUUAGCACCAAGGACAGGGGUGUUAGCCU
rnacentral:pre_miRNA from 1 species